GAUGAACGCCAGCGGCAGGCCUAAUAUAUGCAAGUCGAACGGUGUCUUCGGACAUAGUGGCGCACGGGUGCGCAACACGUAUGCAACCUACCUUACAUUGGGGGAUAGCCUUUCGAAAGGGAGAUUAAUACCGCAUAAGACAGUAGCUGGGCAUCCAGCAGCUGUUAAAGAUUUAUCGAUGUAAGCUGGGCAUGCGUCCAAUUAGUUAGUUGGUGAGGUAACGGCUCACAAAGGCAAUGAUUGGUAGGGGAACUGAGAGGUCAAUCCCCCACACUGGCACUGAGAUACGGGCCAGACUCCUACGGGAGGCAGCAGUAGGGAAUAUUGGGCAAUGGACGCAAGUCUGACCCAGCCAUGCCGCGUGCAGGAUGAAGGCGUUAUGCGUUGUAAACUGCUUUUAUACAGGAAGAAACGACUCUUGCGAGAGGCAUUGACGGUACUGUAUGAAUAAGCACCGGCUAACUCCGUGCCAGCAGCCGCAGUAACAU
rnacentral:rRNA from 1 species